AUAUAACAGCCUUUAACUAGUAAGCUUUAUCUCGCGUUGGCAUAAAAAAGCAUUUGUUUGUGUCUCAAAACAUUGGAAUAAGAUAAAUCUACUUUCCUGGUUAAUAGCUCAUGUCAUCAGUGCAAAUAUUAGAUUAAUCUAACCGUGUUUUAUGUUUAUCCAGCAUUUUACUGAAAAAAGUUAAUUUUAUGACUUACCUUUGCUCGGCAGUCUAGUUAUUUCUGGUGUUGUUAACUCGUGGAAUAUUUAGAAGCCUAAUUAGAUACCUACCAAACCAUUUUGACUGAUAGGAAAACCAGUCUUUACAUCGUUACUUUGGCUUAUCUCAUCCACUACAACAGUGUUAUUGUGGGUGAGGUUACAAUUCUUUAACAGCCACUAGCCUUAAAAAACGGAUGGAGAACCAAAUUGGCAGAGUUUCUAAACGCGUUACACGAAAACACAUCGUAAAACGACGGCAGAUGUACAAUCAAAUAAAACGUACAAAUACAAGUUUAUAUCAACCUAUUUUACAAGAAAAUUCAAAUGAACGGAUCAAGGAUGCUCAGGAUAUUAAUGAGCAGCUAUCGGUUACACGUCGAAAAAACAUACACGUCGUUAUUCAAGAAAACCUACAACCAGUGGACGAUUUUUACCUUAUUGACACGAAUGACGAAGAUUGCAACACAUCAGUGGAAGACCAUCAUCUGGUUCCCGAAGAAGAUUGUUCACAUGAUUCGGCUACCGGUAAAUUAGCACACUGGGUUAAACAUUUUCGAACACCCCAAAUCCACGUAGACAGCCUUUUGCAGGUACUACGACAAAAUACUUGACUUUCAUUUUUACCGAAAAAUUGCAAGACUUUAAUGAAAACUCUCCGAGAAAAGCUCGCAUUCCGACAAGUUGCUCCUGGCGCUUAUAUUCAUUUGGAAUUAAAGAAAGGUUUACUUUCUGAAAUUUACUAUGGGAAAAGAAAGCCUGAAUCAGUAAAUGAUUUCCUACAUGACUUUGUUGCGGAAGCAAAUGCACUCGAAAAUGAAGGCUUGCUUUUUAAUAAGAAAUUAUUUAAAGUUGCAAUAUACGUUAUCGUAUGUGAUGCGCCAGCCAAAAGCUUUGUCACCAGUGUAAAGGCACAUACAGCCUUCUUUGGUUGCCACAAAUGUGAAACAAAAGGCACAUAUGUUUUUAAUAUUGUUGGCAAGGCAGGUGGUAGAGUCACUUUUCCGGAACUCACGGCUAAACUCAGAGACGAUGAAUCUUUUUCGUUCGCAAAGCCAAAAAAACAUCAUCCUUCAAAAAAUGGCGAUCAAUCAUAGAACAUUUGAAGAUCGACCGCGUAAAAAACAUACCACUUGAUUAUAUGCACCUGGUUUGUCUUAGCGUAGAAAAAAAAAUUACUUGGCACUUGGAUUUCUGGAAAAUUCAAUUCAACCAGACUAAGUGCAGAAUUAUUGACCUCUUUGACCGUGUAUCUCGAAGGCAUUAAAAAUGUUAUUCCUUCAGAUUUUCAACGAAAAACGAGAAUGUUAAUCGAAUUUCCACAUGUGAAGGCAACAGAGCAUAGGCUUCAUUUACUGUAUGUUUUUCCAACAGCUUUAAGAAGUAUUCUGCCCCAAAAAAUGUAUAAUCACUAUCUUUUACUUCAUGUAGACAUAUUUGUCAACGAUUCCACUUUUAAAUCUUUCAAUGUUUAUGCAGAGGCUUUGCUGACGCAGUUCGUAGAAUAAUGUCAUCUCAUAUACGGACAAAAGGUUCUUAGCUAUAAUGUCCAUAACUUGAUACAUUUGGAUUCUGAUUGUCUGGAAUAUGGUUCUCUUGAUAACACCAGCGCGUUUAAAUUUGAGAACAGGCUUGAAAUAUUUAAACAUAACUGUAAAUUUUCAGCUUAUCUUCUUUAGCAGACUGUCCGGCGCUUAGACGCAGCUGUCAAACUUGAAAUUGGGCCAUGUUUGACUGGUUUAAGAACAACGCUACCAAAUCUAUUUAAAAACCACUUGGACGGACCUAUGGUCCCAGGCAUUAUUGGCAGUCAAUUUAAAAAAUACCAUUUCAAUUCUCUAAGGUUUUUCAUAACACCUCCCGAUCAUUGCGUAAAUUUGAAAAACAAGAAGGUAAUAUUAAUAAGAAAUUUCGUUCAAAUGAUAAGUGGCGGUAACAUGAUUCUUGGAAGUUUGCAUAAAAGAUAUUGUUGCGGCUAUUGAGACUAUGGACUCGAUCGUCAUGUCCGGCGAUCUUUUAUCGGAUAUUUCCCGCAAUCCUAUCCGAGAUGUCCGGCAGUCUUGUUCGUAGAGAUUUCCCACGAUAGCUUCUGUUCUCCAAAAGCAUAAAUACUCGUACGUUUCCCUUGCUGUAGCCAAAGUCUACUUAUAUCUGUUGUAGGGUUAUGUACGUUUACGGUGAAUAAACCUGUCUUAGUCACUA